rnacentral:rRNA from 1 species
AGAGUUUGAUCCUGGCUCAGGACGAACGCUGGCGGCGUGCUUAACACAUGCAAGUGGAGCGACGAACCGGGGCUUGCCCCGGGGCAGAGCCGCGAACGGGUGAGUAACACGUGGGUAACCCACCCCGAUGACCGGGACAACCCGAGGAAACUCGGGCUAAUACCGGAUGUGCUGGCCGAUCAUCAGAUCAGUCAGCAAAGAUAGCUUCGGCCUUCGCAUCGGGACGGGCCCGCGGCCCAUUAGCUUGUUGGUGGGGUAACGGCCUACCAAGGCAACGAUGGGUAGCUGGUCUGAGAGGACGAUCAGCCACACUGGGACUGAGACACGGCCCAGACUCCUACGGGAGGCAGCAGUGGGGAAUCUUGCACAAUGCGCGAAAGCGUGAUGCAGCAACGCCGCGUGGGGGAAGACGGCCUUCGGGUUGUAAACCCCUUUCAGUUGGGACGAAGCUUCGUCGGUUAAUAGCCGACUGGAGUGACGGUACCUUCACAAGAAGCCCCGGCUAACUACGUGCCAGCAGCCGCGGUAAUACGUAGGGGGCAAGCGUUGUCCGGAAUCAUUGGGCGUAAAGCGCGUGUAGGCGGUUCGGUAAGUCCGCUGUGAAAGUCGAGGGCUCAACCCUCGAAUGCCGGUGGAUACUGUCGGGCUAGAGUGCGGAAGAGGCGAGUGGAAUUCCUGGUGUAGCGGUGAAAUGCGCAGAUAUCAGGAGGAACACCAAUUGCGAAGGCAGUCGCUGGGACGUUACUGACGCUGAGACGCGAAAGCGUUGGGGAGCA